rnacentral:rRNA from 1 species
AUCCUGCCGGAGGACAUUGCUAUUGGGAUUCGAUUUAGCCAUGCUAGUCGAACGAGUUCACACUCGUGGCACAUAGCUCAGUAACACGUGGCCAAGCUACCCUUCAGUCAGCAAUACCCUCGGGAAACUGAGGCUAAUAGCUGAUACGAAACAGACGCUGGAAUGCACUGUAUUCCAAAGACACCGCUGAAGGAUGCGGCUGCGGCCGAUUAGGUAGACGGUGGGGUAACGGCCCACCGUGCCAGUAAUCGGUACGGGUGAUGAGAGUCAGAGCCCGGAGACGGAAUCUGAGACAAGAUUCCGGGCCCUACGGGGCGCAGCAGGCGCGAAACCUUUACACUGCACGAAAGUGCGAUAGGGGAAUCCCAAGUGCGAGGGCAUAUUAGCCCUCGCUUUUGUUGACUCUAAGGCGGUCAACGAAUAAGAGCUGGGCAAGACCGGUGCCAGCCGCCGCGGUAAUACCGGCAGCUCGAGUGAUGUCCCAUAUUAUUGGGCCUAAAGCGUCCGUAGCUGGCCAACCAAGUCCAUCGGGAAAUCCACCCGCCCAACGGGUGGGCGUCCGGUGGAAACUGGCUGGCUUGGAACCGGAAGGCUCAGAGAGUACGUCCGGGGUAGGAGUGAAAUCCCGUAAUCCCGAACGGACCACCGAUGGCGAAAGCACCUCGAGAAGACGGCUCCGACGGUGAGGGACGAAAGCUAGGGUCUCGAACCGGAUUAGAUACCCGGGUAGUCCGAGCUGUAAACGAUGCUCGUUAGGUGUGGCACCCACUACGAGUGGGUGCUGCGCCGUAGGGAAGCCGCUAAACGAGCCGCCUGGGAAGUACGUCCGCAAGGAUGAAACUUAAAGGAAUUGGCGGGGGAGCACUACAACCGGAGGAGCCUGCGGUUUAAUUGGACUCAACGCCGGACAUCUCACCGGCACCGACAACAGUAAUGACGGUCAGGUUGAUGACCUUACUCGAGCUGUUGAGAGGAGGUGCAUGGCCGCCGUCAGCUCGUACCGUGAGGCGUCCUGUUAAGUCAGGCAACGAGCGAGACCCGCAUCCUUAGUUGCCAGCAACACCAUUGGUGGUUGGGUACAUUAGGAAGACUGCCAGUGCUAAACUGGAGGAAGGAAUGGGCAACGGUAGGUCAGUAUGCCCCGAAUGGGCUGGGCAACACGCGGGCUACAAUGGUCGGGACAAAGGGUUCCAACUCCGAAGGGAGACGGUAAUCUCAGAAACUCGAUCGUAGUUCGGAUUGUGGGCUGCAACUCGCCCACAUGAAGCUGGAUUCGGUAGUAAUCGCGUGUCACAAGCGCGCGGUGAAUACGUCCCUGCUCCUUGUACACACCGCCCGUCA